UACGAAGGGGGCUAGCGUUGCUCGGAAUCACUGGGCGUAAAGCGCACGUAGGUGGGUCGCUAAGUCGGGGGUGAAAUCCUGGAGCUCAACUCCAGAACUGCCUUCGAUACUGGCGAUCUUUGAGUCCGGGAGAGGUGGGUGGAACUGCGAGUGUAGAGGUGAAAUUCGUAGAUAUUCGCAAGAACACCAGUGGCGAAGGCGGCUCACUGGCCCGGUACUGACGCUGAGGCGCGAAAGCUAGGGGAGCAAACGGG
rnacentral:rRNA from 1 species